rnacentral:tRNA from 1 species
GGGGUUGUGGCUCAGUGGUAGAGCACUCGCCUAGCACACGUGAAGCCCUGGGUCCGAUCCUCAGCACCACA